GCGAGUGGCUGACACGAAAGGAUGCUCGGGGACAGGCUGGUGAAGAAAGCGUCCCACGGAGUUUUCCCUGGUCCGGAAUUCUUCUUUCUGAUACCAUAGAGUAGUUCUGUCUUCUCUUGGGCUAAUGGGGAUGACUUCCAUUCUUAAGUGACAUGAGUCUGUUGUGAAGGGAUGUUUGAAAUGUGCUAUCAAAGUGGCGCAUUCUGAAGAGGCAAGUAAUGAUUAUGGUGACAGAAUAUAACACGGCACCAGACAUAGCUGUUAGAAAAGCCGAAUAAAUUAAAUCUCCACCUUGAAUUUCAGAACAAACGUUUCAGAGUGUCUUCGAUACAUCCAUCACCUGUUUUCACAUCCGCAGUGGGCAUCAGUUAGUUCUAAGAGUCUUCGUAUUUCCAAAAUAAAAGACUAUGUGUAUUUAUAUUUAAAAUGCAGUUUAGAACUCAUUAAAACUUUAGUUAGAAAUACUUUCAUGCAGUUCCUAUGAGUUUGUCCUAUUUUUAAACACUUUAUGUUUUCUCUGUGGUAGUGUGGGGUUUAUUGAAAUCUACACUCUAAAGUUGUCUUUAAAACUUUUAAUUAUUGUAGUAAGGAGUUAAGAGUUGCAAGCUAAUUAACACUCAGCAAAUAUAUUUUUCCUUAGAUAAUUACUAAGUCACAUCUUUUCAUCGCAGAAAGAAACUUUAGAGAUCACUGUGUUCAUUGAGAACAUGACUGUCUUACAAGAAGAGUGGUGGGAAGAGAAAGGUUUAAGACAAGAGGAUUCAGUGUGUGGCAUAGACCACUGUGUGACUUGUCUCCCUCUGCUUAGUGUGACAAAUCCAGUUUAAGCAGUGUAUGCAGAAAAUCCAGCCUAGUGUCUGACACAUUGUUAGCAAGCAAGUUCCAGAGAGGAAGGGUGACCUGCUUUAAGGUCACAUGCUAAAAGAAGGCCUGUUUUUGAAGAGGGAAAACAUUUUAUGUGUGCCUCCCCACCCCCAUUGAAGCUAAGAUAAAUUCCUUUUUUGAGAAUCGGGUAGUUGAUGCAGCUUUCAUGGAUAACAUUCUUUUUUAAGACUAAAACUUCAGUGAGUCAUUAUAUAAGAAUUGCAGUUUUUAAGUAAGCAUUUGCAUAUACUCUGGUGAAUUGCUGUGCUUGGAGACUACAAAUUGUUAUAUAAUAAUAGCUUGUACUUCAUGGUCUACCACUUGUUUCCACAAACUUACUUUGUUUGAUUCUUUUUAAAGCUUUCACAAUCUUGCUUCAUUGAGGCCUGCAAGUUGCAAGGGAAACAGUCAUCAAUUUGAUGCUCUCAGCCCAAAGCUGAUGUACAGUGUCACUGCAGUGCUCCAUAAUGGAACCUUAUUCUAGAAAUGAAGAUGCAAAAAUACCGAUUCCCUUCAUAGGAGUUGAUUCUACGCAUCUAACAUUUCCUUCUCUAUACAGUAUGCUGAGGCUCAAUGGAAGAAUCCUAGGAUUAGUUACAUUUUCAGACUUGUGAUAUCAAAGUUGUAGAUGUGGUAUAACUGUAAGCCAUAACUUGACAGUUCAGUGACUCACAGCAGCUCCAGUAAGUGGAGGCAAGGUUGAAGCUAGGUGCCAAAUAAAUUCACUUUUGUUGGUUUGAAGUAUCA